rnacentral:rRNA from 1 species
GAUGAACGCUGGCGGCGUGCCUAAUACAUGCAAGUCGAGCGAACAGACGAGGAGCUUGCUCCUCUGACGUUAGCGGCGGACGGGUGAGUAACACGUGGAUAACCGACCUAUAAGACUGGGAUAACUUCGGGAAACCGGAGCUAAUACCGGAUAAUAUAUUGAACCGCAUGGUUCAAUAGUGAAAGACGGUUUUGCUGUCACUUAUAGAUGGAUCCGCGCCGCAUUAGCUAGUUGGUAAGGUAACGGCUUACCGAGGCAACUAUGCGUAGCCGACCUGGGAGGGGUGUUCGCAGACACGGGAACGGAGACACGGCCCAAACCCAGGGGGGGGGGCGCGGUGGGAAAUUUCGGAAAGGGGGCGAAAGCGUGAGGCAGACAGCCGGGGGGGGUGAAAAAGGUUUCGGGAUUGUAAACCUUUUUAUGUGGGGAGAAAAGGUAGUAAGUUAACACCCCGCUGUUUGGCGGUUCCCAACAGAAAAAGCAGCGCCAAGCUUGGU